rnacentral:tRNA from 1 species
ACCUGGCUGGCUCAGUGGGUGGAGUGUGUCACUCUUGAUCUCAGGGUUGUGGGUUCGAGCCCCACAUUAGGUG